AUUAUACGGCGAAACUGCGAAUGGCUCAUUAAAUCAGUUAUCGUUUAUUUGAUAGUACCUUACUACUUGGAUAACCGUGGUAAUUCUAGAGCUAAUACAUGCUAAAAAUCCCGACUCACGGAGGGAUGUAUUUAUUAGAUUAAAAACCAAUGCCCUUCGGGGCUCUUUGGUGAUUCAUAAUAACUUUUCGAAUCGCAUGGCCUUGCGCCGGCGAUGGUUCAUUCAAAUUUCUGCCCUAUCAACUUUCGAUGGCAGGGUCUUGGCCUGCCAUGGUGACAACGGGUAACGGAGGGUUAGGGCUCGACCCCGGAGAAGGAGCCUGAGAAACGGCUACUACAUCCAAGGAAGGCAGCAGGCGCGCAAAUUACCCAAUCCCGACUCGGGGAGGUAGUGACAAUAAAUACUGAUACAGGGCUCUUUUGGGUCUUGUAAUUGGAAUGAGUACAAUUUAAAUCCCUUAACGAGGAACAAUUGGAGGGCAAGUCUGGUACCAGCAGCCGCGGUAAUUCCAGCUCCAAUAGCGUAUAUUAAAGUUGUUGCAGUUAAAAAGCUCGUAGUUGAACCUUGGGCCUGGCUGGCCGGUCCGCCUCACCGCGUGCACUGGUUCGGCCGGGCCUUUCCCUCUGGGGAACCGCAUGCCCUUCACUGGGUGUGCCGGGGAACCAGGACGUUUACUGUGAAAAAAUUAGAGUGUUCAAAGCAGGCCUAUGCUCGAAUACAUUAGCAUGGAAUAAUAGAAUAGGACGUGUGGUUCUAUUUUGUUGGUUUCUAGGACCGCCGUAAUGAUUAAUAGGGACAGUCGGGGGCAUCAGUAUUCAAUUGUCAGAGGUGAAAUUCUUAGAUUUAUUGAAGACUAACUACUGCGAAAGCAUUUGCCAAGGAUGUUUUCAUUAAUCAGGAACGAAAGUUAGGGGAUCGAAGACGAUCAGAUACCGUCGUAGUCUUAACCAUAAACUAUGCCGACUAGGGAUCGGGCGAUGUUAUUAUUUGACUCGCUCGGCACCUUACGAGAAAUCAAAGUCUUUGG
rnacentral:rRNA from 1 species